UUUAGCUGCUAGGAAUUGCAGACUGACGGACAAUUGUACCACUCACCGUAUUUGAACAAAUAUGCAAGCAAACAUUCAGUUUAGCUUGCAUACUAAAUCACGCAUUUCUGCUAGCUUCCAUGAUCAAGUCUCUGAACUUGAUACUAUUUGCAUGAUAAUGGGGGUUGCGCUGCACACAUAUAAACAUAGAAACCAAACAUUCUAUGUUCUGCUAUAACCCAGAUGCAGUAUCACCUUAUCGUGCCCUUAAUUCUUGUCUAUUUCCGAUAGAAAUUAGAUACUCUAGUAGCCUGAUGCAUCAUCCAUUUAUAAUAACACUACAAACUGCACUGUAUGUGUUUAGUUAUGAAGCAUGAAACCUGACAAGAAAAAUACAAAGAUUGCCCAAAAGAAAAAUAAUAGUAUUUAGUUCAAACUGAGGACCAUUUUCCCCAUUCUGAACCUAUGUCUUCCUGACCCAAGCAUCAAACGAAACAUAGCAGUGUCAUCUCAUGGAAAAAAGUUGACAAGAAUAACACCCGGUGUUUCCACAUUUCUGAUUCCUUGAGAAAAGAGAACUUGAUCGAUCUCUCCAAUUUGCCGUUGCAUUUAUUCCGUGCACUCUAGUAGAGUAGAAACUUGUUCAUCUUGUCGACGAAAUUGAAUUUCCAUUGCCAGUUAUGUUGGCGGUUCAGCUGCUUCUUCAAGUUGUUUCUGCAAAAAAUAGAGCAAAUGAGGCUCCUAAUUUAUUUCUACAAUUAAGUGAGUGCAGUCUAUACUUGUCAUCAAUUGAUAUGCAGUCCCGUGAAUGGCUGUACUAAAGAAAAAAACAUGAUGUCCUUAUGUGACUAACAGAUAGUGUCACUGCUUGUGCGUAGGAACUCCAAUAUAUACACACAUCAUGCAGCAUUACGAAAUAUCAUAUGAUGAAUUGAAACCAUGCGUAAUUGAACUAGCCUCAUACAUGGAAGACCACAAUAAAGAAAUACACUGUAGUUGAACUAUGGUAGAGUAGAGCAGCGAGAAACUGAGGGUCAAGAGGGGCAGAGCCACAACCUUGUGUGGGGAGUCGUGGUCAGGGCCGUUGGCUUGGGCUUGGGGUCCCGGUCGUCCUCCUCGCCCAUGGAGUCGAGUGCCUGCUGCACCAAAUCAAGCAGGAAAAUAAAUAUCAUAUUAUUCCAAGGUCAGACAUCCAAUCAAGUGGCAAAAGAAAUAAAGAAAGAAGAUAACAUGAAGAUUCUAAGCAAAAGAACAACUUAUUUAUAAAAUCCUCCAUUAAUUUAAUCUAGUUUAGUUUCAACCAAGCAGCAACUAGAUCAUGGUUUAGUAUUUAUUUAUCCUGGACCAAACUGGUAGAUUUGAUGAACAAUGGCUGAAUAAGAAAACUACUACUACAAGUCCAGUCCCUAGAACCAACAAAUAUUAAGCAUCGAUGGCAUGGUCUGCAAGGGUCAAAGUAAAGAGCAAUUUCUACUGUACCAGAUUAGACUGUUUACUCAAUAAAUAAACCUGAAUUUUAAUCUAUAAGCAAGCAACAUCGAUAUCGUGCAAUAAAAACCUCAAGAGGAGCAACCCGCCGAAAAGAUGCAUUCAGUUUGAUAUAUCAAUGUAAACAGGACAAACAACGCUUAAACAAUGAAAACAAAAGCAAGAAAGAACAAUUGAUGUUGCUGUGGCUUCCAUGUGACUCCAUUUUCGGUUGCGACAGCGACUAGAACAUCUUAGCCAAAGAGGGAUCACAAGUCCAGAACAAAAUAAGAUAACUGCAUUUACACACAAUUCCUAGUUCCUUACCAAACAACAACAAGAAGAUAGUCAGGCCACUUGCAUCGGACCAUAAACUGGCCAGAAUUAAUGCGAUGAUACAGAAAAUGCAGAGGGAGGGGAGUUGUUGUUUAUUACCACCAUUGAUUGUUGUUGCUGUUGUAGUUGAUCAAAAGGGCGACUUGGUUGCUUCCUACUCUCGAUACUGAUCCAGUUCCAACCGACCUCCUGCCUGGAGUUGGACUAGAGGAAUUCCAACUCUACCUACAAACCAGGCAUAUUAAUUGGCAAUAUAUAUUCGAAAAAACAUGUAUCUAUCUAAUUCGCAGCAAGGAAAUCAAUCAACUAAAAGAGAGUCAUGUCCUGAAUAUUAAUUGGUAACCAAGAUCCAACCAGCAAAAUGGUGGCAUGCCAGGAUGCCAAAAACUGUUAGUUCAACAAGGAGAAUAUAUCAAGGGAAAAUCUAAAAAGAAAAAACAAGGCUUGCCGCUGGCCUAUCCACAAAGUACCUGGGAUAGAUAUAUGCUAGCAGCUAGCAUUCUUGCUGGAAUAAUAUUCACAUGUAUGUGCUUGCAAACUAAACCAUACAUUUUCUGCUAGCUGCCAUGAUUAGGGCUCGGGAUUUGAUACUAUUUGCAUCAUCAGGGUGCUGCUAUACAUAUAUAAAUAUAGAAACCAAAUACUCAAUGUUCUUCCAUAACCCAGAUUUACUAUCACCAUAUUGUGCCCUUACUUAUUAUCAUUUUUGAUAGAAACUAGGUAUUAUGACAGUCUAAUGCAUCCAAUGUUUAUAAUGACAUUACAAAUUGUACCAUUAAGCAGCUUAGGAGGACUAUCCUCUGUUCCCGUAACAGAACCGAUGUAAAUUCUUGACUUGCCUCCACCACCUACAUAUGAAGAUUGACUAAUUGUUAGUACAUUACUGACAAAUGCUUCUCUUGGAUAGACGCAUCACUACAUGUGUACAUAAUUAGGACAUACAUAUCACAUUUGUUACUUCAUAGACCCAGACAUAAUCAGAUUUAGCUACAAGGCUUUGAAAGUUGGCAUCCGUGCAAUAAGAAAAAAAUAAAUGAAAAAUAAAAUAUGCCACUCACAAAGGGAAACAUAAUUACAAUUCUAACAGAAGAAUGACACACAUCCCUCUCCUUUGUAAUGCCUCGACCAGGAAAUUGUUACAUGCUACAAAUUUGUGGAUGAUGCACGCACAAGAAUAACCAUAGUUUUAUUUACCUACUGGAAGAGGCCAACCGAUUCAUGGCUGGAUCUGUUUAGUUACCUGCACAUACUAGAAAACCACUGACACAGCUUACCUAUAGCGACCAGAUCUGGAGGUGGGGCAAGGAAGGGGCGACGAGAAACCACUCACAUACCAGAAGCUUAC
rnacentral:lncRNA from 1 species